UAAUCGUGGAUCAGCAUGCCACGGUGAAUACGUUCCCGGGCCUUGUACACACCGCCCGUCACACCACGAGAGUUUGUAACACCCGAAGUCGGUAGGGUAACCUUUAUGGAGCCAGCCGCCGAAGGUGGGACAGAUAAUUGGGGUGAAGUCGUAACAAGGUAGCCGUAUCGGAAGGUGCGGCUGGAUCACCUCCUUUCUAAGGAA
rnacentral:rRNA from 1 species